GGAGAUGUAGCUCAGUGGUACAGUACUUGCCUAGGCUGCAUGAGGCCCUGGGUUCAAUUCCCAGUACUAUUA
rnacentral:tRNA from 1 species